rnacentral:rRNA from 1 species
GAUCAUGGCUCAGGAUGAACGCUGGCGGCGUGCUUAACACAUGCAAGUCGAACGAAGACAUCUGAGUGCUUGCACUUGGAUGGACUGAGUGGCGGACGGGUGAGUAACGCGUGGGUAACCUGCCUUAUACGAGGGGAUAACAGUUGGAAACGACUGCUAAUACCGCAUAAGCGCACGGUAUCGCAUGAUACAGUGUAGAAAACUCCGGUGGUAUAAGAUGGACCCGCGU